rnacentral:rRNA from 1 species
ACGGGGUGCAGCAGGCGCGAAAACUUUACAAUGCGGGCAACGGCGAUAAGGGGACCUCGAGUGCCAGGUUACAAAUCUGGCUGUCGUGAUGCCUAAAAAGCAUUGCAUAGCAAGGGCCGGGCAAGACCGGUGCCAGCCGCCGCGGUAACACCGGCGGCUCGAGUGGUAACCGUUAUUAUUGGGUCUAAAGGGUCUGUAGCCGGCCGGAUAAGUCUCUUGGGAAAUCCAGCAGCUCAACUGUUGGGCUUUCAGGAGAUACUGUCUGGCUCGAGGCCGGGAGAGGUGAGAGGUACUUCAGGGGUAGGGGUGAAAUCUUGUAAUCCUUGAAGGACCACCAGUGGCGAAGGCGUCUCACCAGAACGGACCUGACGGCAAGGGACGAAAGCUAGGGGCACGAACCGGAUUAGAUACCCGGGUAGUCCUAGCCGUAAACGAUACUCGCUAGGUGUCGGCCACGGUGCGACCGUGGUCGGUGCCGCAGGGAAACCGUGAAGCGAGCCACCUGGGAAGUACGGCCGCAAGGCUGAAACUUAAAGGAAUUGGCGGGGGAGCAC